rnacentral:rRNA from 1 species
CUGGGGCUUCCCGCCGAGUCGUGGGAAUGACUUCGGCGGAUCGCUAGUUAGCAUAGUUUAGGGUUAGAACUAGGGCGGUAUCUGAUCGCCUUCGAUCCUCUAACUUUCGUUCUUGAUUAAUGAAAACAUUCUCGGCAAAUGCUUUCGCAGUAGUUAGUCUUGCGACGGUCCAAGAAUUUCACCUCUAGCGUCGCAAUACUAAUGCCACCGUCUGUCCCUUUUAAUCAUUACCUCGGUUCAUUAAAACCGACAAAAAGAACAGAAUCGAGGUCCUGUUACUUCAUUCCAUGCACAGACAUUCCGGCCGUUUUUACAGCCCGCUUUAAGCACUCUAAUUUUUUCAAAGUGAACGUGUCGGCCACCCUGGAACACUCGGUAAAGAGCACUCCGAGCGAGCCGACAAAAUUUUAAUUGUACCAAACGCGGGCGAGCUAUACCCGAAGACCGAGAAACACCGUCCGCUAGAAAGUUUACCGCGAAACGACGACGGCUCCCCUAUAGAAAGCCGAAGCCAACUUAGUAGAAGUACUCGCCGCCGAAACUCGACAUUAUCUAGUGACUGACGCGAAUCGCUAGUACAACAAGCGACUCACCCACGAAAUNGGAUCUAGAAAGUCCAACUACGAGCUUUUUAACCGCAGCAACUUUAAUAUACGCUAUUGGAGCUGGAAUUACCGCGGCUGCUGGCACCAGACUUGCCCUCCAAUGGAUCCUCGUCCAAAGAUUUAGGAUGGACUCAUUCCGAUUGCGAGGCCUCGGAAGAGUCUCGCAUCGUUAUUUUUCGUCACUACCUCCCCGGGCUGGGAGUGGGUAAUUUGCGUGCCUGCUGCCUUCCUUAGAUGUGGUAGCCGUUUCUCAGGCUCCCUCUCCGGAAUCGAACCCUGAUUCCCCGUUACCCGUUACAGCCAUUGUAGGGGUUUAACCUACAAUCGAAAGCUGAU